UACGUAGGGUGCAAGCGUUGUCCGGAAUUAUUGGGCGUAAAGAGCGUGUAGGCGGUCCGGUAAGUCAGCUGUGAAAGUCAAGGGCUCAACCCUUGAAAGCCGGUUGAUACUGUCGGGCUAGAGUCCGGAAGAGGCGAGUGGAACUGCGAGUGUAGAGGUGAAAUUCGUAGAUAUUCGCAAGAACACCAGUGGCGAAGGCGGCUUACUGGUCCGGUUCUGACGCUGAGGCGCGAAAGCGUGGGGAGCAAACAGG
rnacentral:rRNA from 1 species